ACAUAAAAAAAGCCAGAUAAAUCAUUUAUCUGGCUUAGGGAAAAGGCUCAUUGCGAGCCGUGCGCUAAAAAGUAAUUACUGAUUACUGCAUAAACAAAAAAAUCUAGGACUAACUCAGACCUUUCUAUUUCACAACCU
rnacentral:sRNA from 1 species